rnacentral:rRNA from 1 species
AUACGGGAGGCAGCAGUGGGGAAUAUUGCACAAUGGGCGAAAGCCUGAUGCAGCGACGCCGCGUGAGCGAAGAAGGCCUUCGGGUCGUAAAGCUCUGUCCUAUGGGAAGAAGAAUGACGGUACCAUAGGAGGAAGCCCCGGCUAACUACGUGCCAGCAGCCGCGGUAAUACGUAGGGGGCGAGCGUUGUCCGGAAUGACUGGGCGUAAAGGGUACGUAGGCGGCUAGAUAAGUCAGAUGUGAAAGGCAUAGGCUUAACCUGUGUAAGCAUUUGAAACUGUCUAGCUUGAGUCAAGGAGAGGAAAGUGGAAUUCCUGGUGUAGCGGUGAAAUGCGUAGAUAUCAGGAGGAAUACCAGUGGCGAAGGCGACUUUCUGGACUUAGACUGACGCUGAGGUACGAAAGCGUGGGGAGCAAACAGGCUUAGAUACCCUGGUAGA